rnacentral:misc_RNA from 1 species
GGACUACUAGGGUUUCUAAUCCUGUUCGAUACCCACACUUUCGUGCAUGAGCGUCAGUUGAGCGCCGGUAUGCUGCCUUCGCAAUCGGAGUUCUGCGUGAUAUCUAUGCAUUUCACCGCUACACCACGCAUUCCGCAUACUUCUCGCUCACUCAAGAAAACCAGUUUCAACGGCUCGAAGAGGUUGAGCCUCUCAAUUUUACCGCUGACUUGAUCUUCCGCCUGCGCACCCUUUAAACCCAAUAAAUCCGGAUAACGCCCGGACCUUCCGUAUUACCGCGGCGGCUGGCACAG